AUAGCGGAAGCCGAAAAGCUGUUAUAGAGUAGGCA
rnacentral:ncRNA from 1 species